AGCAGUUUCUCAUUUUUACUCACUUUACCCUAAACUCAUACUCACACAUUUAGAUAGAGAAAGAGAGACGGAGAGAGAAUGACGUGAGAGAGAAACCGAUGAAAGGAAGAGGAAGCCGAUCACCCCAACCCGAUGAAGGUAAUGAUGGCGACGACUCCGACAAGCAGCGAUGGCGGCUAGGGUUCCAGUUUGGGGGUUUUGAAACCAGAUCGUCAAGGUGUUGAGGACGUCUGCAAUCUGGUUGUCCAGUUUAGGGGUUUUGAAACACGCAGCCGGAAUUAACAAUUCAUGACUCAUUUCGCCGUUGCCAAAGUCGCUCAAGAAUCAAAUCUUCAACUGAAGUUUUAUUCGCCCUAAAUGGUUCUCGAAUCUCGGCGACGCACAUGGCCAUCGGCUGCCGGGUAAAUGAUGGAAGAUGGUGAUGCUUGGUGAAAGUUGGAGUGUUAGCAACCUUAUUCAUUCACCACAUGAACAUCAUCUUUCUCAAUCAACUGUUUGCAUUGAUUUAGCUAAUGGUGGAGAAUGGAGCCUCACCUGUGGCAAUGGCAGCAAACACGGAUGAAAUUAUGACAAAGGUGGAUGCUAACUAACGUCCAUGAUGUUAUGGCAAUGGACGUCGAAGCAACCGAGAAGCCAUCAGAAUCAAGUCAAUCAAGUCCCAUAACGACAGUUGCACUGCAAGAACAAAAGAAUGAAUCAACAUCAGCAGGGCUUGAUUGUCCAGUUGGCGAAUCAUCUUCUUACAAGUGUAUCCUAGCAUUAAGAACAGAAGAAAAUCAUCUAUCGUUUAAUUUAAAUGACCAAUUUGCCCCUCUAGAGUUCAUGUGGAAAGUGGUAUCGAAGCAGCUCCUAACUUUGAACAUCAAUUCAUAUCAAGCUUUCCUUCACAUCAAAUGGGGACGUAUGAAAACUCAAAUUUGCAGAUUCACCGGUCGUCGUUAAGAAACAGGUCGGAAGAAAUAUCCAUCAGCUUGCAGUUGAGUGAACCAGAACUGAAGAGACGAAAACAAUCUGAUGAAGAAGCCUAAGUUGUGGAAUGAAUUAAGUUUUGUAUUCAUUAGUUUUUAUUUUUUGGCCCUGGCAUGAUUUGGGUGCUAAGGUUGCCUACCACCAGUGUUUAGAUUGUAGGGUUGUUUAGAUAAAACAAUGGCUAAAGUUAUAAAUAUAUGUACAUUUGAGUCCUGUGUUGUUCAAAAUGUAUUGUAUUGCAAGUAUUGAUGAUCAAUAAAACAAACAGUUUAUUGUUGUUCCGU
rnacentral:lncRNA from 1 species